rnacentral:rRNA from 1 species
ACUCCUACGGGAGGCAGCAGUAGGGAAUCUUCCACAAUGGACGAAAGUCUGAUGGAGCAACGCCGCGUGAGUGAAGAAGGGUUUCGGCUCGUAAAAACUCUGUUGUUAAAAGAAGAACAUAUCUGAGAGUAACUGUUCAGGUAUUGACGGUAUUUAACCAGAAAGCCACGGCUAACUACGUGCCAGCAGCCGCGGUAAUACGUAGGUGGCAAGCGUUGUCCGGAUUUAUUGGGGCGUAAAGCGAGCGCAGGCGGUUUUUAAGUCUGAUGUGAAAGCCUUCGGCUCAACCGAAGAAGUGCAUCGGAAACUGGGAAACUUGAGUGCAGAAGAGGACAGUGGAACUCCAUGUGUAGCGGUGAAAUGCGUAGAUAUAUGGAAGAACACCAGUGGCGAAGGCGGCUGUCUGGUCUGGUAACUGACGCUGAGGCUCGAAAGUAUGGGUAGCAAACAGGAUUAGGAUACCCUGGUAGGAUAG